GACGAACGCUGGCGGCGUGCUUAACACAUGCAAGUCGAACGGAAAGGCCCUGCUUUUGUGGGGUGCUCGAGUGGCGAACGGGUGAGUAACACGUGAGUAACCUGCCCUUGACUUUGGGAUAACUUCAGGAAACUGGGGCUAAUACCGGAUAGGAGCUCCUGCUGCAUGUUGGGGGUUGGAAAGUUUCGGCGGUUGGGGAUGGACUCGCGGCUUAUCAGCUUGUUGGUGAGGUAGUGGCUUACCAAGGCUUUGACGGGUAGCCGGCCUGAGAGGGUGACCGGCCACAUUGGGACUGAGAUACGGCCCAGAAGCCUACGGGAGGCAGCAGUGGGGAAUAUUGCACAAUGGGCGGAAGCCUGAUGCAGCAACGCCGCGUGCGGGAUGACGGCCUUCGGGUUGUAAACCGCUUUCGCCUGUGACGAAGCGUGAGUGACGGUAAUGGGUAAAGAAGCACCGGCUAACUACGUG
rnacentral:rRNA from 1 species